CUUGCUUCUUUGAGACUUAGCGGCGGACGGGUGAGUAACACGUAGGCAACCUGCCCUUUAGCCUGGGAUAACUACCGGAAACGGUAGCUAAUACCGGAUACUUUCUUUUUCUGCAUGGGAGAAGAACGAAAGACGGAGCAAUCUGUCACUGAAGGAUGGGCCUGCGGCGCAUUAGCUAGUUGGUGGGGUAACGGCUCACCAAGGCGACGAUGCGUAGCCGACCUGAGAGGGUGAUCGGCCACACUGGGACUGAGACACGGCCCAGACUCCUACGGGAGGCAGCAGUAGGGAAUCUUCCGCAAUGGGCGAAAGCCUGACGGAGCAACGCCGCGUGAGUGAUGAAGGUUUUCGGAUCGUAAAGCUCUGUUGCCAGGGAAGAACGUCUUGGAGAGUAACUGCUCCGAGAGUGACGGUACCUGAGAAGAAAGCCCCGGCUAACUACGUGCCAGCAGCCGCGGUAAUACGUAGGGGGCAAGCGUUGUCCGGAAUUAUUGGGCGUAAAGCGCGCGCAGGCGGCCGUUUAAGUCCGGUGUUUAAUCCCGAAGCUCAACUUCGGGUCGCACUGGAAACUGGAGGGCUUGAGUGCAGAAGAGGAGAGUGGAAUUCCACGUGUAGCGGUGAAAUGCGUAGAGAUGUGGAGGAACACCAGUGGCGAAGGCGACUCUCUGGGCUGUAACUGACGCUGAGGCG
rnacentral:rRNA from 1 species